rnacentral:siRNA from 1 species
ACACAUUACUACCGUGUACGUACA